AGUAACGUAGUAUCUCUUAACUUUUAUGCCAUGGUAGAAUCUUUGAUCUUCAUUCAUGCACUGCAUAAUCAACCAGUAUGAUAUAUUUCAGCCGACUAUGAGAAAAUGCACCAAAGCAUCAGUUUUCUUCAAUCAAGACAUUCUUAUGUGGUUGAACCAUGGCUGACGUUCACUAGGUUCAUAUGAACCUAUGGUUUCUAAAACAGCUUCUACUUUUCUCCCAUUUAUUUUAUACAAUAUUUCAAGCAGCAACCUUUUGAAACUGCUGACGUUCGGCAAAACUCUUCAUUCGAGCUUCGAUUUCGGGGCGGAAGUGCCGGAUGAGACCUUGAACGGGCCAGGCCGCACCGUCUCCAAGAGCGCAAAUUGUAUGACCCUCAAUUUGUUUGCUCAGUUCCCACAACAUGUCGAUUUCUUCUGGUUUGGCGUUACCCUCAACUACGAAAAAUUGAAAUCCAUUGAUACAGAAAGCGAUUAGAAAAAACAAAUAAAUAGAUAACAUUUUAUAA